rnacentral:rRNA from 1 species
GACGAACGCUGGCGGCGUGCCUAAUACAUGCAAGUAGAACGCAGUUGCGAACGGGUGAGUAACGCGUAGGUACUUGCCUCAUAGCGGGGGAUAACUAUUGGAACCGAUAGCUAAUACCGCAUACUGUGAGAUGGACCUGCGUUGUAUUAGCUAUUUGGUGAGGUAAAGGAUCACCAAGGCGACGAUACAUAGCCGACCUGAGAGGGUGAUCGGACAACCUGGGUCUGGGACAAGGCCAAGACUCAGACGGGAGGGAGCAGUAGGGAAUCUUUGGAAAUGGGAGGAAGUCUAGCCUAGCAACGCCGCGGGAGUGAAGAAGGUUUUCGGAACGUAAAGCUAAGUUGUUAGAGAAGCGUUAACUAACCAGAAAGGGACGGCUAACUACGUGCCAGCAGGCGCGGUAAUAC